UCCAAUGUUCACUGACAGCAGUAAACUGUUUUGAAAACACCCUCAAAAUUCGUAUGUUGAAGAUGAAUUAUCAAGCUGUCCUGACUCUGUUCUUUUUCUUCGUUCUUACCUUUCCAAAUUUUAUGUUGGUGCAAUCCUGGAACUGCCCCUACAAGUACAACUGUGGAAAAAGACAGGUGACUGCCGAUGAAACAGGUAGGCUAAAAAGUCGCCUUGCCAACCACUUACAUUCUCUUAGAAACUUCCGUCCGAUGGCUGGAGAAAGAAUAGCGAGGAAGCAGAAGAAAGGACUGGACAAUAUAGGCUUCCUAAGGGCUCAUAGGAAUGAUCAAAAAUUGGAAACGGAAUCCACCGUUAAAAUGUCAUAAAGUUGUUUCGUUUUUAUUUCAAAUAAAUGUAAUUUGAGAAUCAAAUUAAGCUCGCCGAGAAA